AUGUCCAAUACAGGAAUCUGAUGUCUGAUGGUGAAGAUGGUGUAUGGUGGUGUAUGAUGGUCGAAGUGUGUAAGAUGGUUGUCAGAUGGUGUAUGAUGGUGUAGUGUGGUUAUACAGGGAAGGGUUGUCAGAUGGUAAAGAUGGUUGUCAGAUGGUGUAUGAUGAAAAUUGAGCUUUUUGAAUAUAGACCAUUGCAAAAUGUUUAAAAUUUGUUUAACCCUUUAUAGUGGCAAUGUUCCUACUUUAAUAUAUUACUCCGUCUGGUGCCAGACAAUUUUACUCAAGGGCAUAAUGUAGACUUGCCACAAGUCAACCUCGAACGAAA